UACGGGGGGAGCAAGCGUUGUUCGGAAUCACUGGGCUUAAAGGGCGCGUAGGCGGGCUGUCAAGUCUGGGGUGAAAUGCCGCGGCUCAACCGUGGAACUGCCUUAGAUACUGACGGCCUCGAGGAAGGUAGGGGCAUGCGGAACUGUAGGUGGAGCGGUGAAAUGCGUUGAUAUCUACAGGAACUCCGGUGGCGAAAGCGGCGUGCUGGACCUUUUCUGACGCUGAGGCGCGAAAGCUAGGGGAGCAAACGGG
rnacentral:rRNA from 1 species